rnacentral:rRNA from 1 species
ACGAACGCUGGCGGCGUGCUUAACACAUGCCAGUCGAACGGGCCUUGUCCCCUUUUUUUUUGGGGGUGGGGUUAGUGGCGAACGGGUGAGUAACACGUGAGUAACCUGCCCCUCACUUCUGGAUAACCGCUUGAAAGGGUGGCUCAUACGGGGUGUUCUGGCCUGCUCGCAUGGGUGGGUUUGGAAAGAUUCGACCGGUUUUGGUUGUUUUGGUGGGGGAUGGGCUCGCGGCCUAUCAGCUUGUUGGUGGGGUGAUGGCCUGCCAAGGCUUUGACGGGUAGCCGGCCUGAGAGGGUGGGCGGUCACACUGGGACUGAGACACGGCCCAGACUCCUACGGGGGGCAGCAGUGGGGAAUAUUGCACAAUGGGCGCAAGCCUGAUGCAGCGACGCCGCGUGAGGGAUGGAGGCCUUCGGGUUGUGAACCUCUUUCGCCAGUGAAGAAGGUCCUGCUCUUUGUGGUGGGGUUGACGGUAGCUGGGUUAAUGAAGCGCCGGCUAACUACGUG